CUCUCAUUUCUCGUGCGGAAAGGCUAGUAUAACGUAAACUUGACGUUAACACACCGUACUUUACUGCUGCCGGUUUUACUGCCGGUAGAAAUAUGGCGACACAACGACAGUGCGAGUGAGAGCAGGAAGAAAUAAUCAUACAUUGAUGCUCGUCGACUGCGUUAAUCAUUUUUCGUGUUCCGCCAGUACGUGAAGACUCUUCGGCCAAACACGUAAAUAAAAUCGAUUGUACAAUAUUACGCAAUGGCUCUAAAGGAUAUGUUUAAGAAUGCUUACAAGACUAAUGCACAUGAAAGACGCUGUGGUGGUUAGUUUUACACUAGUCCGCCAUUGCUGUCAUCAUGCCAACUCAGAACGAAUGCACAAAUGUUUGUCUCGAUGGCUGUGUAGUCGCGCAUUUCUCGCAGUCGACACGCACAGCUUCCAAAUCGCGUGACAUCAGUUACGUCAUAUUCCGAAUAACAUGACUUUCGCCGUUAAUUGCGGUUUGUUACAUCGGCAAAAGUGCUAAUGAACACUGGUAGCACCUGUACUAUCGUCGAUCAUUCCACCCAAAUACCUCAGAUCACUUUUGACAAGCAUCGAACCGAGAGAAAGAUUGCGUGAUUCGUAAACAUAAGGGAUAUAUGGUCUAUCGACAUGCUGCUACAUCGGUGCUUCAUGUGAACAGUCCUCAGUUACCUCACACCAGCGUCACGAUAUUUGCGUCGAGAUAUUCGCGUAUAGUUUACGCAAUCUAGAAUCGUACAACUAUGAAGCAGAGCGAUAUAGCCGGAAGUCUUCAUCAAGCGUAUGUA